GAGACAUUGUCUCACUCUUUUGCACAGGCUGGAGUGCAGUGGCACGAUCAUGGCUCACUGGAGCCUCAACCACCAGGUCUCUGGUGCUUGCCUGCUAUGCUGUCAAAGCUUUGUGAGCACUGUAAUUAGAACAAAAUGGAUGUCCUUGGAAUUAAAACCCCAAGUCAGUAAUGAUUGACCACAAAGUAGACUUGUUCAAUUGCACCCCAUCAUUCACUGUUAUAUAAUACCAAGUACCAAGAUUCUUACCAUUAUUAUGUCAUCCUAUAUUAAUUCUUUCAUUCACACAUAUAGGAUGAAAAACAAAGGAAUGUUUAUCCUAUAUAAUGUUCCUUUAUGAUUUUUGUAAUACCAUUUUACUGUUGUUUAUGCCUAUAGCACCCAUUCGACUGAUGUUAUAAAUACAAAUUUGAAAUGUGGUGAGUUGCUUCCAUAUACUGUUGUAGUAAUUGAAUAUAGAGAACAGACCAAAAUCAGAUGAAUGCUAGAAAACAAACAAAAAUGGGGGAAAAGAGGCAAGCUCUACCUAAUUGGGACUGAUAGCAAUUAGUACAUUAUAUAUACAUGGAUGCUUCCUUUUCAUAAGUCAGAUAAAUGGAAUGUAAAACACAAUGCAGAUGCUGUCCAAAUAUUGUGAGAGGGUUGCAAUGAAAGGUGAAAAUGUAGAAUCUGAAAGGCAUCAGUGCAUAUGGCAUCCAGAAAAAUGAGAAUAACGUAAGAUUUUUUUGGUAUUUCUCCAAACUAAUAGUGCCCAGACUUGUGACAGGAAUAUUUAGGUUCUUGGUUAGGUAUAACUCUGAGGUGCCAUAAUUUUAUAAAAGGAAAUUUCAGCAAGCUGUCAACCUAAAAACAUUCUCUUUCCUUUAUUUCCUGGCUCAAUUGUCAUUUAACCCACUGCUGUCCUUAGCUCAUUUCUGAAGUAGAUAUCUAGAGAAAAAAAAUUAACUCUCCAUGUGUAAAUACUUUGCAUUGUAAAUUAAUAAACUUUUCCGGUGACUUUAUGGAACAUAGGCCUAAAUUCAGUUAGAUGAGCUUCUGGAUCUGAGGACUGAGUGAGGAAGGAAAUCCUGGACUAGGGUUGAGUCCAAGCAACAUUGCUGAGUAAAGUGAUAAUGACAUUAGAAACCAAGCCACAGGGCCUUGUAAACGUGCUUCAGACUCACAUUUAUAUUCAAUAAAAUUAUGGUUAUUCUCAUGAGUCAAAUGAUAGAAAGAAAAUGUGAAGUCAGAUUCUCCUUUUUCAGUAUAUUGAUUGAAGAACUCCUUGAUACUCAGAUAAUUCUGGAUAGGGAUAUAAUUAUUCCAACAAUAUGUUUAUGGGGACUGACUUCUGUAUUGUGAAAAUGCCCACCAAAUUUGGUAACACAUACCUGAAAGUUCCUGAAACACAAAUAUUAUUCACAAAUAGGAACUCAAUAUUUCAUCUUAUUAUUUAUUCUGAACUUCACUCUUAUAAAAAAG
rnacentral:lncRNA from 10 species